GGAGGGGAGGGUGGUCUGACUGCAGCGUCUGUCACCCCAUUGACCGCCAGGCUUGAGUCAGCUGGUCUUCCUCCCUCAGCACUCUGUGUGCGUCCCUCCUGGAGCUGUGCGCUCAGUUGAAGAGGACGACCAUCCUUGAUAGAGGAGAACCGUUCCUCGGUCAAGGGUAUAUGACUAGCUGUGCUCUUUGGCUAGAACCUCCAUAUCAUAGCUGGGAAGACUUGGAUUUUUCAAAGUUAGUAGUGCAGCAUCUGUCAAAAUGACACUGGGCAUAGCU
rnacentral:snRNA from 1 species